rnacentral:lncRNA from 1 species
CGGGUCACUGCAGCCUGUCUGACCGUUGCCUAGAACAGUCGAGUGUGCUUUGUUUUCAGUGUUUGAGGUUCCACAACCAGGCCUAGAGCAGCGCAGAUUCUCCUCCUGGCCUAGACCGGCAGCCAGUGGCUGGCUGCUCCAGUCCUGGGCAUAUGCAGCAGGAUGGAGAGAGGACUCCCUCGUUGUGCCCUGAGAUCACCCAGGGCGGUGCGCACAGCCGGCCUCAGUGCCAUUGUUGAGCGGGAGCUGCCUGUAAGAUGCGCGUAUACCUGCUGCCUAUCUGCACUGUGCCAAGAAAGACCUCUUCCUGGGCGAAGGUGCAGAUCAUCAGGCACAGAGCAAGCCCUGGUCCCAGGCCGGAUGCAGAAUUUGCUGUGAGCCCUGGGACCCGGGGCCACCUGCCCGCAGCCUGGCCCGUCUCCCCCGAGCCCGUGCAGCUGCAGGCUGCGUGCCCCGCCCUGCUCACGUCACCGCACCAAGCC